CGGAGUUAUCGUGUGACUGCUCUUCUACUGUUCUUGCAAGUGUUGAGUAAUUUCUGGCACAAGAGUUUGGUACAAGAGUAAACUAGACAGUCUUCAUUUUACUAAAUACAACCCGCACACAAUAGUAUCAGUCUUCACUUUACCAAACAUUUUGAUUACAGGUACUCCUCACUUUGCGAUUUGCCUGCAUAACGAUGGCUUGGACAUCCGACCAGCUCUCUACUGCCGGGAUUUGAGGGAUUUCUCACGUUGGUAAGCUGGCCUAGAUUUGAGCAAUUCCCUGCUCUGGUGCACUUG